rnacentral:rRNA from 1 species
AUUGAACGCUGGCGGCAGGCCUAACACAUGCAAGUCGAGCGAGCGGCGGACGGGUGAGUAAUGUAUGGGGAUCUGCCCGAUAGCGGGGGAUAACUACUGGAAACGGUGGCUAAUACCGCAUACUAUCGGAUGAACCCAUACGGGAUUAGCUAGUAGGUGGGGUAAAGGCUCACCUAGGAUACGAUCUCUAGCUGGUCUGAGAGGAUGAUCAGCCACACUGGGACUGAGACACGGCCCAGACUCCUACGGGAGGCAGCAGUGGGGAAUAUUGCACAAUGGGCGCAAGCCUGAUGCAGCCAUGCCGCGUGUAUGAAGAAGGCCUUCGGGUUGUAAAGUACUUUCAGCGAGGAGGCGUUACUCGCAGAAGAAGCACCGGCUAACUCCGUGCCAGCAGCCGCGGUAAUAC